rnacentral:rRNA from 1 species
GACGAACGCUGGCGGCGUGCCUAAUACAUGCAAGUAGAACGCUGAAGAGAAGAGCUUGCUCUUCUUGGAUGAGUUGCGAACGGGUGAGUAACGCGUAGGUAACCUGCCUGGUAGCGGGGGAUAACUAUUGGAAACGAUAGCUAAUACCGCAUAAAAUUGAUUAUUGCAUGAUAAUUAAUUGAAAGAUGCAAUUGCAUCACUACCAGAUGGACCUGCGUUGUAUUAGCUAGUUGGUGAGGUAACGGCUCACCAAGGCGACGAUACAUAGCCGACCUGAGAGGGUGAUCGGCCACACUGGGACUGAGACACGGCCCAGACUCCUACGGGAGGCAGCAGUAGGGAAUCUUCGGCAAUGGGGGGAACCCUGACCGAGCAACGCCGCGUGAGUGAAGAAGGUUUUCGGAUCGUAAAGCUCUGUUGUAAGAGAAGAACGGGUGUGAGAGUGGAAAGUUCACACUGUGACGGUAUCUUACCAGAAAGGGCGG